rnacentral:Y_RNA from 1 species
GGUUGAUCUGAAGAUAGUGAGUUAUCUCAAUCAUUGUUCACAGUCAGUUAGAGAUCAAACUCCUUGUUCUACUCUUUCCCUCCUUCUCACUACUGCACUUGAAUAGUCUUUU